rnacentral:rRNA from 1 species
GACGAACGCUGGCGGUGCGCCUUGAUGGCAAUGGCAACGUUCGAGCGAAGCUCUUCUUGGUUACGUGUUAGCUGACUGAGGAAAUGGACCUGAUCGGCGAACGGGUGAGUAACGCGUGAGCAAUCUACCUUAGUUACUGGGAUAGCCCGAGGAAACUCGGAUUAAUACCAGAUAUUCUUAUUUUUUCACAUGAAGUUUUAAGGAAAGGUCAGCCGAACUAAGAUGAGCUCGCGUUCUAUCAGCUAGUUGGUGGGGUAAAAGCCUACCAAGGCAACGACGGAUAGCUGGUCUGAGAGGACGAUCAGCCACACUGGGACUGAGACACGGCCCAGACUCCUACGGGAGGCUGCAGCAGGGAAUAUUGUGCAAUGAGCGAAAGCUUGACACAGCGACACCGCGUGUGGGACAACGGUUCUAGGAUCGUAAACCACUUCCAGGAGGGAAGAAAAUGACGGUACCUCCACAAGAAGACCCGGCCAACUAUGUGCCAGCAGCCGCGGUAAUACAUAGGGGUCAAGCGUUGUCCGGAUUUAUUGGGCGUAAAGAGUUCGUAGGCGGUUCAACAAGUCGGUCGUAAAAGUUUAGGGCUCAACCCUAAAAUGUCGAUCGAUACUGUUGUGACUAGGAUACGGUAGAGGUGAAUGGAAUUCCGAGUGUAGCGGUGAAAUGCGUAGAUAUUCGGAGGAACACCAAUUGCGAAGGCAGUUCACUGGACCGUGAUCGACGCUGAGGAGCGAAAGCUAGGGGAGCAAACAGGAUUAGAUACCCUGGUAGUCCUAGCUGUAAACGAUGGAUACUAGAUGUAGGAACUGAAUUGACGGUUUCUGUAUCGUAGCUAACGCGUUAAGUAUCCCGCCUGGGGAGUACGGUCGCAAGACUAAAACUCAAAGGAAUUGACGGGACCCCGCACAAGCGGCGGAGCAUGCGGCUUAAUUCGAUGAUACCCGUAGAACCUUACCUGGACUUGACAUAUAGGGAAAAACUGGAGAAAUCCAGUGUGCGUAAGCGCCCUUUACAGGUGGUGCAUGGCUGUUGUCGGCUCGUGUCGUGAGAUGUUGGGUUAAGUCCCGCAACGAGCGCAACCCCUGUCCUAUGUUGCCAGCAAGUAAUGUUGGGGACUCAUAGGAGACUGCCGGUGAUAAACCGGAGGAAGGUGGGGAUGACGUCAAGCCAUCAUGCCCCUUAUGUCCAGGGCUGCACGCAUGCUACAAUGGCAAGUACAACGAGUCGCAAUACCGCGAGGUGGAGCAAAUCUCUUAAAGCUUGUCUCAGCUCGGAUAGGAGUCUGCAACUCGACUCCUUGAAGUUGGAGUCGCUAGUAAUCGCAAAUCAGCAAAGUUGCGGUGAAUACGUUCUCGGGGUUUGUACACACCGCCCGUCAAGUCACGGAAGUCGGCAAUACGCGAAGCCAGUGGUCUAACCCUUUGGGGAAGAAGCUGUCGAACGUAGGGUUGGUAACUGGGACU